ensembl:snRNA U7 U7 small nuclear RNA
AAGUGUUACAGCUCUUUUAGAAUUGGUCUUGCAGGUUUUCUGAUUUACACUAGAAAAACCAAA